GUGCAUAAAUUGAAAAGCCUAUCCUUCCACGUCUCAGGGGGGCCAGAUGGUACACACCUGCGAUAUAUAGAAACAGCCAAAUUGCUAUUCUGAUGAUGCGCUACACCAAAGAUGCUACCAUAGUGAUUGUGGUUGUCCAAUCCUGUCCCUGGUUCGUUCAAUUACACAAGAUUUACAGCUGUGUAAUCAUUACACUAAUUUGACAUGUAAUUAUUGUCCCAAGUGAUAGCCAAUAGAACACCCCAAGCACACACUAUCCAAUCAAGUUAGUUUACUUAAAAGGAUGGCUCACACAACUUCACUUUAUGCAUUCUCUGGUCACAGAAGGGAAAAGGCACCCAACCUCGACAUCUUCAGUUGAUUACAAUGUCUUUGAUAAGUCGAAGAGGAUGAGACUAAACAGAUGCCUUUGCUGUUUACUGAAGCAAUCCACUGGGACCUUGCAGGCUUCAAAUAGCUUUUGGCCUUUAGAGAAGAUCCUGUUAAAGAAGCUCUGAAGAAGGCCUUGAGACAAAUUCUUAAUAAAAAGCAGUGAUACUAAUGCGAGCGGCGCUAUGUUAUUCAUUUGGUAACAUGCAACAAAGAUGGCUCAAAUUGGGAAGUGCCUUUUUGAAUGUGGGAAAGAUCAUGUUCAAAUUCAGUCGCUUGAUCACAUCUCACAAUGUACAUUUUAAGGGAGUAUAUUGCAUUGGAAGCCUAAUUUGAAGAUUACUUAUGAUGUAGUAAACUGGACUUGUUCAAAACAGACAUUACUGCAUUGAAGAGGAACUGCCCCCUAAACAUCCAAAUCCUUUUGAAAAUGGCCUGUGGCAUCAAACAUUUUAUUCUAGUGUCAAAUUUGACUUAAGUGGGAUUACUUUGGUUAUCGUAAACUGAGUUUGACACCUCUGUCACAAGGAGUAAAGUUGGGGCUGGGUUUGUAUUACAUUUUUCAAAUCAUGCCCCCCUUAGACUGGCUGUGCAAAUUGCCCAUGUUACUUAGCUAUGAGAAACUAGCCACAAAGAUUACCGAUGGACUACAGUUUGUUAAAAUAAAGUACAUCAUUGAAAGUGCAAA